CUAAUAGCCAAUAAAGUUCAUUUAUUAUUUAAGGCAGUUUGAGUUGGGUUUUCUUCUAUAGUCAUGACUCAUACAGACCCCAUGCAAACUUUUCCUGGACAUUGCAUUAGUCCUCAUAGAAAGGAUUCUUUUGAUCUCACCAGACUAAAGGAGAAUAUUCAGGGAGUUCCCUGGUUGCCUAGUGGCUAAGGAUCUGGCAUUGUCAUCGCUCUGGCAUUCAAUACCCCGCCCAGGAAUUUUCUCAUGCCACGGGUGCGGCCAAAAAAUAAAUAAAUAAAAUAAAGGAGAAUAUUGAGGCAGAGGGACAACGUGAGUAAGGGCCCAGAAGUGCUCUUCAGGUUCUAGGGGUGCUGACUUGGUCAUUAAUAACUCAACCUGAGCGUGGGGAGAAGGCCGAGGCAGAGGGGACCCCAAGGGUCUGGACUUGAGAUGUCAAGUCUUCAGGACUCACUACUGUUACUAUUAACUAACAUCAAUACGUUGAGAAACAAGUUAGUUAGGGGGAGGGGAUGAGGUUCAAACUCGAAUGUAAGGAGCGUUAUCCUCCAGGGCUGCAAAAGCUAUUGACUUUUCUGCCACCCCCAGGAAACUGGCAGGUUCUGAAGGGCCUGGACUGUGUGUUCUUCAUCUUCAAUUUAACCCUGAAAGCUGGGAGUUCCCGUUGUGGCUCAGUGGUUAAUGAAGCCAACUAAUAUCCAAGAGGAUGCAGGUUUGAUCCCUGGCCUCGUUCAUGGAUGCUAGUCAGGUUCAAUAACUGCUGAGCCACAGCGGGAACUCCCAGAUAAGAUUCCUAACUGAAACAUUCUACCUCCUUCCGCUGAGUUGGGAGACCAUUUGGUGCGCCUCUACUGAAGCCCAAGGAAUACGAAAUGAGGUAUUCCACGUUUGGGGCUUCUUUUGUCUAAUUACACACAAGACGGAGAGAAAGGAAGGGGGACUCUGAGCCAACCUGAUAAACAAAUCCAGAAGCUAACAGCAUUGGUUUGUUGUUCUGACCUCUAAAGGAAUUUUUCAGAGGAAGAGUCACAGAGAAAAUUUAUAUUAAAAAAAAAAAGGAAGAGUCUAACUCCCAUAAUUGUUUCCAAUUUAAGAAAAAAAAAAUCCUCAAAAGGACAGUAUUACUUCUUAAUGAGCUGUUCCCUAUGCACUUUAAAAAGAAAACAGGGCACAACCUAAAGCAGCUUUCUGUCAGCUAUCGGGGAUUUGCGUGGGGAUGAUCAAAGGAGCCCUGGUCCCUCUCUCAGUCUCCUCUUCAAAGGCUCUCCGGGUGGACGCAGUCACUCUUCUAUCAUAACUGUUUACACUUACAGGCAAUAGCAUGCUCAUGGCUGGUUUUAUGAAUUUCUUAGCUGUCUGCAAGAAAGUACUUUGAAACAUUAGAAAAUCCAUUCAAAUCGCAUUUAAUGGCAUCAGGUGACGUAUGCUCCUUCUUGUUCCUAAUUCUUUGAAGAGUGAUGAUGCCAAGGGGCUUGGUGACUUCCAUAGGGAAACGGACCUGGGCUGGCGAGACCUGAGGAGAUGGGGGCCCUCAUCAAUUAUUAUUACACAAUUUACACCUUCCAAGGUUUGGGCGACCAGAUUAGAUUUAUCCCAAAGGAAUCAUGCGAUGAUUGUGUCCUUGCAUCCUGGAAAUCUGCUCAUGUUUCUGCAUUUUAAUAUGAACACGACAUGGUAGAGCACAGGUGGUGUGGAAUAGUGGGCGAGGCAUGGCAUGAGGUACCCUGAAAUCUGAGAUGCUAAUCCCAGUUUGGCUUGAUUAAAUCAUUUAACCUUUCAAAGCUCCUGUUUACUUUAUCCCUAAAAUGUGAUAGUUAUGUUCAUUCUAAAAAAGGACUUAGGAUUAAAUAAUAUAUGUAAUCUGGUAUCUCCUAUACAUAAUACAUAGUAUUGAUUCAGUGGUGGGUGGGGGUGGGUACUGCUAGUAGCAGUAUUUUUUUUUUAACAGCCACACUCACAGCAUAUGGAAUUCCUGGGCCAGGGAUUGAGUCUGAGCCACAGCUGCUGCAAUGCCAAAUCCUUGAAACCCACUGCAGUGGGCCAGUGAUCAAACCUGCAGCUCCACAGUGACCUAGCUACUGCAGUCAGAUUCUUACCCACUGUGCCACAUCAGGAACUCCUAAUAGCAGUACUAUUAUCAAGCUUUAAAUAUUAAUCCAAUGAGGGAAAAAAUUCUUUUUUGCUUCUUAGGGCUGCACUCAUGGCACAUGGAGGUUCGCAGGCUAGGAGGCGAAUCGGAGCUGCAGCUGCCGGCCUAUGCCACUGCCACAACAAUGAGGGAUCUGGGCCGCAUCCACAACCUAUAUACCACAGCUCGUGGCAACGCUGGAUCCUUAACCCACAGAGUGAGGCCAGGGGUUGAACCUGCAUCUUCAUGGAUGCUCAUCAGGUUUGCUGACUCCUGAGCCACGAAGGGAACUCCAAUGGAGGAAAAUUUUAAGUAGGAGAGUCCAUCUCAAGUCAUCCAAGACCAAUGCAAAGGAUUACAACAGAAAUCAUUAAUACCAUGAAUAAGUAAUAUGAAACUGACAUUUUUCAAUGUGGCAUAUUUUUAUGGUUUUAUUAAAGCGAAUAUAUGCUCAUUUUCAAAUAUUUAAAUGACACAACCGAUUAAGUGGGACAUUAAAGUGUCUUAUAGUUUUAUAUCUUCCUGCUCUGACAUAUGGCGAUUAUCCUUUCAAAUUUGUUUUUGUGUACAUGUAAAAAUAUUGCCAGACCAAAGCAAUGGAUUCUUCACUCAACAACAAGACUGGAUCUGAAACCGACUAUAAUGGAAAAAAUAAAAAUCAUUAUUAAAAAUAAUAGUUAAAAAAUAAACUUAAAAAAAAAACAAAAACUGGGUCUGGAUGGGACAGUGGACCACUUUAACUGCUAAAGCCUAGGCCUUAGGGUAGAGCCCACUGGCAACUUCCAACUUUUGACCCAGUUUGUACUCAGAUAGCAAAUUAGGCUUUAGAACUACUCUCACAGAGUGGUUGUGAGUUGUCCAUUAUCAAAUAAUGUCUAAAAACAUCAAUAUUUUUUGUUGGGCUUCUCUAGAAAAGUAAUGACUUUUUGGCUUUUACUGAAGGAAAAUUUCAAAAAGUUAAAAACCUGACUCAUGUAAACAUAUGAUCAAGACAUGCCAACUAUUUAAUUCAAUGUAUAUUUAAUAAAUUAAGGACUCAGCAGAUGGUACACCUGAUUCAAAGGAGAAUUCGAGGAACAGAGAUUUAAAUAGUCGUUCAAUGGCAUGCUGAAAGGAAUUCGUUAAUAGAUGCAAAACUGGUUAAUGCCCUUCAGGGCUAUAAACUGAAACCUUUGGAGUUUAUAUUUCCGAUCAGACAGAAAUCUAAAAUUUAACAUAUAAAAUCAUAGUAUCAAUGCUCCAUCAAAUAAUGAGGAGCAAAGUUAAACACAGAUGCAUUCGCUUAGAUAAUUAAAUGAUCUUGGAUGAGACCUUUCAAUGAUGACCUAGUAUGACUUCAAAGGACUUUUUGUUUUAUUUCAAAAUUUUGGAUGUCAAUUUUUCUUAAUACUUAAGCUUUUCUUGCUUGUUACAGUCAUAUAUCCCUAUUAUCUUUUGACUUAAAAUCUCCUCACCUGUGUCUUUGAUUUCCUCUUCAUAUCUUUCAUUAUAAUACAUGAUAUAUUCAUAACAUGUUUCACUGUAUAUAUAUAAUGUGUGUGUAUAUAUAUAUAUAUAUAUAUAUAUAUAUAUAUACUUUUUAUAAAGAAACAAGAUCUUAACUUACUUCACUCUUUUUAAUGAUAGAGAAAAAUAAAAUGACAACAAUGAGACUAGUUCUUUGUCACCAGCCAGGUCACUUCUAGCUCCCAUUCUGGAGGUGAUUCCAUCAAAACAAGGUAAUUAACUAUUAAGACCCCUGUUUUAUUGCUACUUUUUGCAUAUUUCUCUAACUUUCAAGUUUAGAAUAAAUUUCUCUGAUGCUCUAUCACACGCUCAAGACCACGUAAGGUGGGAACAGCGUCACAUGAGUUCAAUCCCCGCCCAGCACAGUGGGUUAAAGAUCCAGCAUUUCCACAGCUGCAGCUUAGGGAAAGACUGCAGCUCAGGUCUGAUCCCUGGCCCGGGAGCUCCAUAUGCCACAGGGCGACCAAAAAUGGAAAGAAAAAUUAAUUCAAAACUUCCUUCCUCGUCUCUCCCUCAUAGUUUUAUUUUAGUCAUUCUACCAAACUUUGUUACCCAAACAUUGUAAAACUCUCCAUCUUUUAAUGUGUUAUUUAGUACUUCUGCAUUUACUCAGAUUACUUACUCUUAGGUGACAUGGAAAACUGGUCAGAUUCUGAGUUUCCAACUCAACUUGAGAGCUUAACUGUUCAAAAUCAGCCUUCUUGAAUAUUAGCAGAGAUUUAAUUUUCCUCUGUAGUCAGUAGCUAACAAUGAGAUUUUUUCCCCUGUAAGAGCUAAAACCAUUGAACACACUAAUCUAAUUUUUUAGAAAAGAACUGAAUCAAAAGGAGUUUCUUAUCAUAAAGCAGUUUUAUGGUGCUCUAUACCCAAAGAAGUCAUUAGAUGCUCCAAUGACAAGUUGGUGUGUGUUGCCCAGCCAGCGUGUUCCUGUCUAACCCUGUUCUUUUUUUUUUUUUUUUUUUUUUAAGGGCUGCACCUGUGGCAUAUGGAGGUUCUCAGGCUAGGGGUCAAAUAGGAGCGAUAACUGCCAGCCUACACCACAGCCACAGCAACGCGGAAUCUGCGCCAUGUCUGUGACCUAUACCACAGCUCACAGCAAUGCUGGAUCCUUAACCCACUGAGCGAGGUCAGGGAUAGAACCAGUGUCCUCUUGGAUCCUAGUCAU
rnacentral:lncRNA from 9 species